AAGCAACACUCUGUGUCAGAUGAUCGAAGUUGUCUGAUGCAAUUUGAGCUUGCUAUAGCAAGAAAGUCUAACCUAUUCCAGUGGUCUCUUCCAUGAGACCAACUGUUAUAUAGACUUAAACAGC